rnacentral:rRNA from 1 species
UACAGAGGUGGCAAGCGUUGUUCGGAAUUACUGGGCGUAAAGGGCGCGUAGGCGGCCAUCUAAGUCAGACGUGAAAUCCCCAGGCUUAACCUGGGAACUGCAUCUGAUACUGGAUGGCUUGAAUCCGGGAGAGGGAUGCAGAAUUCCAGGUGUAGCGGUGAAAUGCGUAGAUAUCUGGAGGAAUACCGGUGGCGAAGGCGGCAUCCUGGACCGGCAUUGACGCUGAGGCGCGAAAGCCAGGGGAGCAAACGGG